rnacentral:snoRNA from 1 species
GUGGUCGAUCAGUGUAAUCUACAGUACUGAAUAAGUGUGCUGUUGUACCAUGAUGCCACAGAGAAUGAUACUGGUGCUCACCGACAGGUCCUAACAAGUCAUUGGGAUCCCUGUGCGAUGGUUCCAUACAAA